UGUUUAACCCCACAGGCUUUAGGCACCGCCCUCUCCAUUGGCCAGCUCGGUGGUAAAGUUGAAAGUUCAAGGGUUGCAGAUUCCUUUUCGCAACACCCGAGAAAGAAUUUGGGAGGAACGGCAGUUUUAUUCCAGAUUUGUCGAAAGGCUAUGGAAUUGCUGACUGUCUUGGAGCCAGGGGAAACGCCCCAAAUAGCAACAUGAAAAAGAAACUUCACCGGAGCUGACCACGUGUAGGACUCUCCAGAACGAAUGCACAACUUAUUUUUUAAAAAACUGUUUGAUUUUUUUUCAAAACAAAGACCUUUGCAAUGUUAACAAAGAACUCUAAAACGCAUAUAGACUUUUUUACUUUCUGAAUUAAUAAUAAAAAAGCUCAGCUGUCCACUGUAGACCCUUAAAAAAUACCGUUCCAAAAAAAGUCAGUUUGAAAAAAAUUUUUUGUUUGGUUUUUGUCUUUUUUAAUGUUAAUAAACAAAAUUUUAAAAACUGAUUAGUAAAUUAUAAUGACUAUAGUUACUGUAAAACUGUAAAAAAGAACUAGAAUGAAACUUUAACUAAGCCUGCAAUCCCAGGAGCAGCUGCAAGAUCCACAUAGCUCACUUUUAUGUUUUGUAAGAUUCAAUAAUCAAGACCAGCAGA